CCACUCAAUCACUGCUAUUUGUUUACUUGCCCACCCUCCCACAUUACCUUCACCACAUCUUUGAGGUAUUUUAAUGCCCAUACUUUAUACAAAGCAGUCUUAACCAUCACUAAGAUUGAAGUGAUUGUUACAAAGGAAAAUAAGACCAUGGCAAAGAAAAUCUGCACAGUCAGCUAUGGGUCCACAGUUCAGAAGAAUCAGAGGCUUAUAAAGGGAGCCCAAGAGGAACCAUCAGCAACCAGAAUGUCUGUGUCACCCAGGAGCUGUUACAAACCUGAUGUUUUUUAAAGUAUGAAUCAAAGCAAAACAACACACACUGACUGUCCCAGUAUAGGAAGUCUGAUAACAAUCCACAUUAUGUCUUUUAUCUCAUUUUCAAAUACUUUAAUAUCUAGAACACAAGGCAUCUGGAUAUCUAAGUCACCCAGAAAAGAGCCAACAUAGCCAGCUUGAAACUGUUAUCCUUAGAAGGGCCUGCUGGUAAGGCUGGUCCUGGCUGACCUCUCGAAAGACGGGCUGCAGGAGUGUUCCCACCACUCCCUGGUUAAAUCUUAGCCGGAGUACAACUGUAUGCUGAGUCUCAUGUGUCCUCCUACCCAAUCAUCAAAUCUAGGAGCGGCCUUGAGAAGCUCCAAUACAAGUCUUCCUUAUUGUUCUCCCUGGACAGACAUCUCAAAUAAUGGACUGCUGAAUGCAAAUUCUAGUUUUUAUGGAAGUGCAAUGCACUGUGGGAAAAGACCUCUCUCUUGAUGACAUGCCUGAGCAUUGGUCUUGGCAACAGCUGAUCCUGGAAGGGAGUAGGAAGGCCGAUCAUCCUUCCUUCUGACAUAGUGCUGGAAGGUCAAGAGCAGCCUAAUGCCCUGUCACAACAAUGCCUAUGUCAUUCACCUCACUUCGACUCAUCCUGCAGGCAUUUCAUCAUCUCAUAUCAUCACAGGAACAAGGAGAACCCCAGUGCAAGCAGAGGCCCUCGCAGAUGUGGGAGCCAUUGUGUUUGGCCAAGGAUCCUCAGUUCAGCAUUCAGCAAGCAGGGGCAGCUUACACAACCACCAGGACAGCUCGGGAGAGAACUGAGGGAUGUCUGGGCGGGCUCUCCCUGUGAGUGUGCAGCCGCCACUGCUGCAUUCGCCCCACCAGGGCCCAAGAAUCAGUCUCUGAACCGAACAGAAGAUGCGCACAUGGCGCAGCCCCCGAUGUGGCUGUGGGAACCAGGAAGGGUGGCAGA